GGCGUGAUAUCUUUAGUUACUGGCGAGUGAAACGGAAAGAGCUCAGCGUCGAAACCGUGUUGGCUUUCGUUGACACGGUAUUGUGACGUAUAGAGGUGAUCAUGUGCGGUUUGCUAGCUUUACGAAUUUCCUUUGACUAGGAAUCCAUAGCGGGUGCAAGACCCGUACGUAUUGCCGGUUUUUCGUACGCGUUUAUCUCUUGGAGUAGGGUUGUUUGAGAUCGCAGCCCUAAGUAGGUGGUAUACUUCAUCUAAAGCUAAAUACGACUACGAAUCCGAUAGCAAACAAGUACCGUGAGGGAAAGUUGCAAAGUACUUUGAAGAGAGAGUUCAAGAGGACGUGAAACCGAUAGGAUGGAAGCAGAUGAAGUUGACGAACGUGUGUCGUAUUCAAAAUCGCUGUCAGCGGUUUGUUUUUACGGCCGAUGUGGGCCGGCGGCUUUGGUCAAUGCAACGCGUCUAGCGUCGAUGGUGACCCUGCGGAGGGACAAUCAGUCGGCGUACGGUGCUUGGUAUGGCUAAGGUUUCGCCGGUCUUAAAGUCAGCGCCUCAUCUGACCGUGGGGAAACACGGAUA
rnacentral:rRNA from 1 species